GAUGAACGCUGGCGGCGUGCCUAAUACAUGCAAGUCGAGCGAACAGACGAGGAGCUUGCUCCUCUGACGUUAGCGGCGGACGGGUGAGUAACACGUGGAUAACCUACCUAUAAGACUGGGAUAACUUCGGGAAACCGGAGCUAAUACCGGAUAAUAUAUUGAACCGCAUGGUUCAAUAGUGAAAGACGGUUUUGCUGUCACUUAUAGAUGGAUCCGCGCCGCAUUAGCUAGUUGGUAAGGUAACGGCUUACCAAGGCAACGAUGCGUAGCCGACCUGAGAGGGUGAUCGGCCACACUGGAACUGAGACACGGUCCAGACUCCUACGGGAGGCAGCAGUAGGGAAUCUUCCGCAAUGGGCGAAAGCCUGACGGAGCAACGCCGCGUGAGUGAUGAAGGUCUUCGGAUCGUAAAACUCUGUUAUUAGGGAAGAACAAAUGUGUAAGUAACGAUGCACGUCUUGACGGUACCUAGUCAGAAAGCCACGGCUAACUACGU
rnacentral:rRNA from 1 species